rnacentral:piRNA from 4 species
UAUUUGUUGAAUGGAUGAAUGGGUGGAUGA